rnacentral:rRNA from 1 species
AGGAGCUUGCUCUUCUUGGAAGAGUUGCGAACGGGUGAGUAACGCGUAUGUAACCUGCCUUGUAGCGGGGGAUAACUAUUGGAAACGAUAGCUAAUACCGCAUAACAAUGGGUGACCCAUGUCAUUCAUUUGAAAGGGGCAACUGCUCCACUACAAGAUGGACCUGCGUUGUAUUAGCUAGUAGGUGAGGUAACGGCUCACCUAGGCGACGAUACAUAGCCGACCUGAGAGGGUGAUCGGCCACACUGGGACUGAGACACGGCCCAGACUCCUACGGGAGGCAGCAGUAGGGAAUCUUCGGCAAUGGGGGCAACCCUGACCGAGCAACGCCGCGUGAGUGAAGAAGGUUUUCGGAUCGUAAAGCUCUGUUGUAAGUCAAGAACGAGUGUGAGAGUGGAAAGUUCACACUGUGACGGUAGCUUACCAGAAAGGGACGGCUAACUACGUGCCAGCAGCCGCGGUAAUACGUAGGUCCCGAGCGUUGUCCGGAUUUAUUGGGCGUAAAGCGAGCGCAGGCGGUUUGAUAAGUCUGAAGUUAAAGGCUGUGGCUCAACCAUAGUUCGCUUUGGAAACUGUCAAACUUGAGUGCAGAAGGGGAGAGUGGAAUUCCAUGUGUAGCGGUGAAAUGCGUAGAUAUAUGGAGGAACAC